rnacentral:rRNA from 1 species
AACGAACGCUGGCGGCAUGCCUAACACAUGCAAGUCGAACGAGACCUUCGGGUCUAGUGGCGCACGGGUGCGUAACGCGUGGGAACCUGCCCUUAGGUUCGGAAUAGCUCCCCGAAAGGGGUGCUAAUACCGGAUAAUGUCUUCGGACCAAAGAUUUAUCGCCUUUGGAUGGGCCCGCGUUGGAUUAGCUAGUUGGUAGGGUAAAAGCCUACCAAGGCGACGAUCCAUAGCUGGUCUGAGAGGAUGAUCAGCCACACUGGGACUGAGACACGGCCCAGACUCCUACGGGAGGCAGCAGUGGGGAAUAUUGGACAAUGGGCGAAAGCCUGAUCCAGCAAUGCCGCGUGAGUGAUGAAGGCCUUAGGGUUGUAAAGCUCUUUUACCCGGGAUGAUAAUGACAGUACCGGGAGAAUAAGCUCCGGCUAACUCCG